rnacentral:sRNA from 1 species
UUUUUUUUCUCCUUUUUAAAAAAAGUCGUGAACUUUUAAAUGGUUGUGGUGAUGAAUAAUAAUGGGUCUGAAUGGAUGGCGUGUAAAAGACAGAUCACACUUAAGAUGGAGGGACCACAAUUAAUUUUCACAUUCAUGAUUUGGGUCAUUUAUAUAC